CCAGAAGCCGUUCAUCUAAAUGAGCAAGUGCUUUCUGGGAAUAGGCCUGAUGAAAGAGAAUCCGAGGAGAGCUCUGUAAGCCUGCCAAGCCCUGGCUGCUGAAAGGAAGGCAGUAUUAUUUUCAGAGGAUGGGGUGUGCCAGGCAGUGGUGAGACACCAGGAAGAGGCAGAGUCGCUUAGCAGGAUCUUCAUUCUUGCCCUGCUCUCCCGGCCCGGCACCCUCCCACUGAGGAUGGGAGAUGGCUCUGGGGAAAUUCCAUUCCGUAAUUCAUUUAAGCAGGAUAAACAGAGCUCCUGCUCUGGAAGAUCCAGCCCUGAGCAAAAGGCACUUGGAAUCGACAUGAGGGGCUCGAAUGUCCCUGUGAAACAUAAACAUAAGGAGGCAGGAGACAUGAGAUGCAGCCGGCUCUGACCCCAAAAAGCCAUGGGACCUGACCACCUGGGAGGAGCUAGAGGACGAAGAACUUCACAGAAGAAUGGAGUCCCAAAGAAACAGCUUCAGGAACUGAGGAGAGCCAGAAAUUUAAUGUAUUUAGGGCUCCCUUGUGAAAACACAAAAACAAAAAUAAAAAUGCCUCCCGCUGCCUCGACA